UGGGGAAUAUUGGACAAUGGGCGAAAGCCUGAUCCAGCCAUGCCGCGUGUGUGAAGAAGGUCUUCGGAUUGUAAAGCACUUUAAGUUGGGAGGAAGGGCAUUAACCUAAUACGUUAGUGUUUUGACGUUACCGACAGAAUAAGCACCGGCUAACUCUGUGCCAGCAGCCGCGGUAAUACAGAGGGUGCAAGCGUUCAUCGGAAUUACUGGGCGUAAAGCGCGCGUAGGUGGUUUGUUAAGUUGGAUGUGAAAUCCCCGGGCUCAACCUGGGAACUGCAUUCAAAACUGACUGACUAGAGUAUGGUAGAGGGUGGUGGAAUUUCCUGUGUAGCGGUGAAAUGCGUAGAUAUAGGAAGGAACACCAGUGGCGAAGGCGACCACCUGGACUAAUACUGACACUGAGGUGCGAAAGCGUGGGGAGCAAACA
rnacentral:rRNA from 1 species